rnacentral:snRNA from 1 species
GUGCUCGCUUCGGCAGCACAUAUACUAAAAUUGGAACGAAACAGAAAAUUAGCAUGGCCCCUGCACAAGGAUAACACGCAAAUUCGUGAAGCAUUCCAUAUUUUU